UCUCCAUCUAAAGAGGAAUUACAACAGGUGAAUCUAGCGUAGUUGAAGACGAAGUUGGAAAAGGAGAAUAUCACGUUUGGCUCGAGUUGAACACUAUACAUUCUCCGUUGCCUAAAUAAAGAUAUCAGAUUGCGAAGGAGAACCAUUUAAUUUUGAAGCUGAAUCAUUAGUCUGGAUGAAAAUAUACAUUGUCUGGUGCCCUAAAUAAAGAUAUCAGAUAGUGAAGGAGAGCCAUUUACUUUUGAAGUUGAACCAUUAGAAUCUGGAACUGCUACAAUAUGGAUAAGAGUUGGAUGCAAGGAAAAUCUAGGUUGCAUCCUGCAUAUAAAAGAGGUCUUAAUGAAUUUAUCAAGAUUGUUCGCGAUCACACAGAUAGCAUGGGAAGGACUCGUUGCCCUUGUGCCAGAUGCAAAAAUGGUCAUUUGGAGCCCAUCCAGGUGGUUGAAGAUCACUUGCAAGAUUUUGGAAUACACAAGGAUUAUACACUAUGGAUACACCAUGGAGAAGAUUAUGAAAUUGUCUCUGAUGAUGACGAUGUUGA